UAGGGAAUCUUCCACAAUGGGCGCAAGCCUGAUGGAGCAACACCGCGUGAGUGAAGAAGGGUUUCGGCUCGUAAAGCUCUGUUGUUAAAGGAGAACACGUAUGAGAGUAACUGUUCAUACGUUGACGGUAUUUAACCAGAAAGUCACGGCUAACUACGUGCCAGCAGCCGCGGUAAUACGUAGGUGGCAAGCGUUAUCCGGAUUUAUUGGGCGUAAAGAGAGUGCGGGCGGUUUUCUAAGUCUGAUGUGAAAGCCUUCGGCUUAACCGGAGAAGUGCAUCGGAAACUGGAUAACUUGAGUGCAGAAGAGGGUAGUGGAACUCCAUGUGUAGCGGCGGAAUGCGUAGAUAUAUGGAAGAACACCAGUGGCGAAGGCGGCUACCUGGUCUGCAACUGACGCUGAGACUCGAAAGCAUGGGUAGCGAACAGGAUUAGAUACCCUGGUAGUCCAUGCCGUAAACGAUGAGUGCUAGGUGUUGGAGGGUUUCCGCCCUUCAGUGCCGGAGCUAACGCAUUAAGCACUCCGCCUGGGGAGUACGACCGCAAGGUUG
rnacentral:rRNA from 1 species